GUGCAGCCUGUGCUCCCUGACCUGGAAGGCGCCUGCCAGGGGCACCAGUCAAGCCUGAGGAAGGCUGGGCAGCUGUCCAGGUCACUCUGUCACAGUUGAUUUAGGGGGGCUGGAGGUGUCCAGAGCCAUCAGAAACAGCCAAGUGUCUGGGACCUCAAAGCCCAUAAGUUAUGUUGUUCUCCACACUGCUCCUCAAGAGUCUGCGAUGACUUCCUGGGAACUAGAAUCAUCAAAAUCAGUUUAUGCCAAAAGAAAUUACUUUCCAUCUCUCUGAAGUGGGUGUAGAGCCGGGGAAGCAUCUGCAAAGGUCACCCGAGAUCUGCAAGGCCCUGUCUGUCGUCUCCGCACAGCCUCCACCAGCAGACAUCUAAAGAUCUCCAUGAAGAUGAGGUGUCUCAUCAGAGUUGUUGGGACUUACCCACAGAGGGGUCCCUAAAACCAAGGGACAUAGGGUGGUGUUAAGAUGCCUAAGUCCAAUGCCCCCCACUUCAUAGCCUCUAGGUCUCGGUCGUUUCCAGCAUAGAGUAAGAUAAUAAAUAUUUGUUAUUGUUAUUAUUAUUAUUAUUAUUAU
ensembl:lncRNA